AUUGAACGCUGGCGGCAUGCUUUACACAUGCAAGUCGAACGGGCUUGGGGGCUUGCUCCCAAGUUAGUGGCGAACGGGUGAGUAAUACAUCGGAACGUACCGUGUAGUGGGGGAUAACUUAGCGAAAGUUAGGCUAAUACCGCAUACGAUCUACGGAUGAAAGUGGGGGACCCUUCGGGCCUCACGCUAUACGAGCGGCCGAUGUCUGAUUAGCUAGUUGGUGAGGUAAAGGCUCACCAAGGCGACGAUCAGUAGCGGGUCUGAGAGGAUGAUCCGCCACACUGGGACUGAGACACGGCCCAGACUCCUACGGGAGGCAGCAGUGGGGAAUUUUGGACAAUGGGCGAAAGCCUGAUCCAGCCAUGCCGCGUGUCUGAAGAAGGCCUUCGGUUGUAAAGGACUUUGUCAGGGAGCAAAACUUAGAGGUUAAGUAACCUUUGUAGUUGAGAGUACCUAGAGAAUAAG
rnacentral:rRNA from 1 species